rnacentral:rRNA from 1 species
GGGGGGGGGGGGGGGGGUGGGGGGGGGGGGGGGGGCGGGGGGGGGGGCGGGGGGGGGGGGGGGGGCGCGGGGGGCGAGGGGUGGAGUCACGCGGGGGUGAGCUGCCGGUGACUGUCGUGUGACUUCGGGACCCUGUGGCUAAGGACGGAUCGGCGCUACUGCUGCCUUGUGGGGGUUGGAAAGUUUCGGCGGUUGGGGAUGGACGCGCGGCGUAUCAGCUUGUUGGUGGGGUAGGUGCUUACCAAGGCUUUGACGGGUAGCCGGCCUGCGAGGGUGACCGGCCAUAUUGGGACUGAGAUACGGCCCAGACUCCUACGGGAGGCAGCAGUGGGGAAUAUUUCACAAUGGGCGGAAGCCUGAUGCAGCAACGCCGCGUGCGGGAUGACGGCCUUCGGGUUGUAAACCGCUUUCGCCUGUGACGAAGCGUGAGUGACGGUAAUGGGUAAAGAAGCACCGGCUAACUACGUG